rnacentral:rRNA from 1 species
UCCUACGGGGGGCAGCAGUGGGGAAUAUUGUACAAUGGGGGAAACCCUGAUGCAGCAACGCCGCGUGGGUGAAGGAGCGUUUCGGCGCGUAAAGCCCUGUCAGCGGGGAAGAAGAAAGACGGUACCCGACCAAGAAGCCCCGGCUAACUACGUGCCAGCAGCCGCGGUAAUACGUAGGUGGCAAGCGUUGUCCGGAAUUACUGGGUGUAAAGGGAGCGUAGGCGGGAAAGCAAGUUGAAUGUUUAAGGUACGGGCUCAACCUGUACAAGCGUUCAAAACUGUUUUUCUUGAGUGGAGUAGAGGUA